rnacentral:pre_miRNA from 1 species
AAAGUACUCCCUCCGUCCCAAAAUUCUUGUCUUAGAUUUGUCUAGAUACGGAUGUAUCAAGUCACAUUUUAGUAUUAGAUACAUCCGUAUCUAGACAAAUCUAAGACAAGAAAUUUGGGAAAGAGGGAGUAGUUG